rnacentral:rRNA from 1 species
GGUUAAGUGACUAAGCGUACACGGUGGAUGCCUAGGCAGUCAGAGGCGAUGAAGGGCGUGCUAAUCUGCGAAAAGCGUCGGUAAGGUGAUAUGAACCGUUAUAACCGGCGAUACCCGAAUGGGGAAACCCAGUGUGUUUCGACACACUAUCAUGUCAUGAAUACAUAGUGGCAUGAGGCGAACCGGGGGAACUGAAACAUCUAAGUACCCCGAGGAAAAGAAAUCAACCGAGAUUCCCCCAGUAGCGGCGAGCGAACGGGGAGGAGCCCAGAACCUGAAUCGGCUUGUGUGUUAGUGGAAGCGUCUGGAAAGUCGCGCAGUAAAGGGUGAUAGCCCCGUACACUAAAAUGCACAGGUCGUGAGUUCGAUGAGUAGGGCGGGACACGUGACAUCCUGUCUGAAUAUGGGGGGACCAUCCUCCAAGGCUAAAUACUCCUGACUGACCGAUAGUGAACCAGUACCGUGAGGGAAAGGCGAAAAGAACCCCGGCGAGGGGAGUGAAAUAGAACCUGAAACCGUGUACGUACAAGCAGUGGGAGCACCUUCGUGGUGUGACUGCGUACCUUUUGUAUAAUGGGUCAGCGACUUAUAUUUUGUAGCAAGGUUAACCG